rnacentral:rRNA from 1 species
AACGUAGGAGGCAAGCGUUAUCCGGAUUUACUGGGCGUAAAGCGCAUGCAGGCGGUUCGUUAAGUUGGGCAUGAAAUCUCUCGGCUUAACCGGGAGGGGUUGUUCAAUACUGGCGGACUUGAGGGCAGGAGAGGGAAGCGGAAUUCCAGGUGUAGCGGUAAUAUGCGCAGAUAUCUGGAGGAACACCAGUGGCGAAGGCGGCUUUCUGGCCUGUACCUGACGCUAAGAUGCGAAAGCCAGGGGAGCGAACGGG